AUGUCGCAAUUGCAGAAGUGCUUGUGCGCCAACCGCAACUGCUUCCAUGAAGAUUGCGCUUGUUUCACAAGGGAAGGGGUCUGCUCCGAGUACUGCGAGUGCCAUGGCGACUGCAAGAACAUCUGGAAACACGAGGAGGAAGUCACAGAGGAAUUCGCUGAAUACACCAAGAGGAAAGCUGAUGAAGCUGCCGCCCAAGCUGCUGCUGCCCAAGCUGCCGCUGCCCAACCUGCUGCUGACCAAGCUGCCGCUGCCCAAGCUGCUGCUGCCCAAGCUGCCGCUGCCCAACCUGCUGCUGACCAAGCUGCCGCUGCCCAAGCUGCUGCUGCCCAAGCUGCCGCUGCCCAACCUGCUGCUGACCAAGCUGCCGCUGCCCAAGCUGCUGCUGCCCAAGCUGCCGCUGCCCAAGCUGCCGCUCAACCUCAACCUAAGCCAUUGCCAGCACAAGAACCAGAGUCGAAGGGUGAAGCCAGGAAUAACUCCCCAUCGGCAGUCAAAAUGAAUUGGUGCAGCUGCAGGACGAGCGGAUGUCGCAUCCACCGCUGCCCUUGCUUCAUGCACAACGCCUGGUGCUCCUCAAAAUGCAACUGCGCGGCCACAGUGUGUGUUAAUCGCAGUGGGGCCAAAGGGGCUCUUGCUGAGAAGCUGCAGCACCGCGGGAUUAAAAGAGAGGUUCUUGCUUCAGGUUCUGUAACGAGCACGGCGACUGCAGGAGCGGUGCUGGCCAAUGAGGGUGGUAAGGGGUGCACGUGCUUGUUAAGCAAAUGCACAAACAAGAAGUGUGGUUGCCUGAAUCGCGGGGCUAGGUGCACCUUAAAAUGCAGUUGCCAAGGGUGCGAAAAUGGAAAAGGGACCGGAGGGGCUGAUAAAUCCAAUGCUGGAGCAGGAGGUACGGGUGGCACAGGUGACACCAGAGGCUCAGGUCCCAACAAGCAAAUAAGAAUCGCGUGA
rnacentral:rRNA from 1 species